AUAAUUAUAAUAACAAUAAUAGUGUAGUAUCUGUUCUUACCAGCCUUAUAUCUGAUACGGUUCGUAUUUGGGGCCAUCAAUAUUAAACUGAUUUUUUUGAAUAAGGUGAAGAGUUAGAGGCUUCCUCUACCUUUGCCAUGGGUUGACCUGGUAUUGCAGUACUUCCAGGAUUCAGCCCAUCUCCC